UGCUAUGGUAUAACUUAGUGGCAGACGGGUGAGUAAUGUAUAGGAAUCUACCUAGUAGUACGGGAUAAUUGUUGGAAACGGCAACUAAUACCGUAUACGCCCUACGGGGGAAAAAUUUAUUGCUAUUAGAUGAGCCUAUAUUAGAUUAGCUAGUUGGUGGAGUAAUAGCCUACCAAGGCAAUGAUCUAUAGCUGAUCUGAGAGGAUGAUCAGCCACACUGGAACUGAGAUACGGUCCAGACUCCUACGGGAGGCAGCAGUGGGGAAUAUUGGACAAUGGGCGAAAGCCUGAUCCAGCCAUGCCGCAUGAGUGAAGAAGGCCUUUGGGUUGUAAAGCUCUUUUAGUGAGGAAGAUAAUGACGGUACUCACAGAAGAAGUCCUGGCUAACUCCGUGCCAGCAGCCGCGGUAAUACGGGGAGGGCUAGCGUUAUUCGGAAUUAUUGGGCGUAAAGGGCGCGUAGGCUGGUUAAUAAGUUAAAAGUGAAAUCCCGAGGCUUAACCUUGGAAUUGCUUUUAAAACUAUUAAUCUAGAGAUUGAAAGAGGAUAGAGGAAUUCCUGAUGUAGAGGUAAAAUUCGUAAAUAUUAGGAGGAACACCAGUGGCGAAGGCGUCUAUCUGGUUCAAAUCUGACGCUGAAGCGCGAAGGCGUGGGGAGCAAACAGGAUUAGAUACCCUGGUAGUCCACGCUGUAAACGAUGAAUGUUAAAUAUGGGAAGUUUACUUUCUGUAUUACAGCUAACGCGUUAAACAUUCCGCCUGGGGACUACGGUCGCAAGAUUAAAACUCAAAGGAAUUGACGGGGACCCGCACAAGCGGUGGAGCAUGUGGUUUAAUUCGAUGCAACGCGAAAAACCUUACCACUUCUUGACAUGAAAAU
rnacentral:rRNA from 1 species